AGCGGCUGUAGUCGCGCUCGUUAACCCGGGGGGGUUGGGGGCGGCCAGGCGGCGACAGGUUUCCCUCGGCAGGCGCGCGAUGCAGCGGGCGGCGGCGCUGGUCCGGCUGGGCUGCUGCCCCCAGGCUCGGGUCUCCCGGGGCCGUAGUCAGAGCAGCGCAGCCGGCGCGAGCGCAUCCUCACGCUGGAGUCCAUGAACCCGCAAGUGAAGGCAGUAGAGUACGCGGUGCGGGGACCCAUCGUGCUCAAGGCCGGCGAGCUCGAGCUCGAGCUGCAGCGGUUCAGAGGCUGGGAACUCCAAGGCCCAGGGAAGGCGUCUGGUGGUGACUCUUCACAGCAAUGUUGGGGUAGCACAGCAGGAGAGAAAGUGGUAUGGGCGAGAGUGAGCUAGCCUUCUCCCUCGCUCCCUCAUCCAGCCGUCAGUACCAUGCCCGUGACAACCCAUUAAACCACCAAACCCUUACUUCAUGAAUGGAUCAGUCCAUUCACAGGGCACAGUUCUCAAGAUCCAGUCAUCUCUCAAAGUCCCCACCUUUCAAAUUCC